CAUCCUCCAAGGCUAAAUACUCCUGACUGACCGAUAGUGAACCAGUACCGUGAGGGAAAGGCGAAAAGAACCCCGGCGAGGGGAGUGAAAAAGAACCUGAAACCGUGUACGUACAAGCAGUGGGAGCACCCUUUGGGGUGUGACUGCGUACCUUUUGUAUAAUGGGUCAGCGACUUAUAUUCUGUAGCAAGGUUAACCGAAUAGGGGAGCCGGAGGGAAACCGAGUCUUAAUUGGGCGUUAAGUUGCAGGGUAUAGACCCGAAACCCGGUGAUCUAGCCAUGGGCAGGUUGAAGGUUGGGUAACACUAACUGGAGGACCGAACCGACUAAUGUUGAAAAAUUAGCGGAUGACCUGUGGCUGGGGGUGAAAGGCCAAUCAAACCGGGAGAUAGCUGGUUCUCCCCGAAAGCUAUUUAGGUAGCGCCUCGUGAAUUCAUCUCCGGGGGUAGAGCACUGUUUCGGCUAGGGGGCCAUCCCGGCUUACCAACCCGAUGCAAACUGCGAAUACCGGAGAAUGUUAUCACGGGAGACACACGGCGGGUGCUAACGUCCGUCGUGAAGAGGGAAACAACCCAGACCGCCAGCUAAGGUCCCAAAGUCAUGGUU
rnacentral:rRNA from 1 species